rnacentral:rRNA from 1 species
GGAAUAUUGGGCAAUGGACGAGAGUCUGACCCAGCCAUGCCGCGUGCAGGAAGACGGCGUUCUGCGUUGUAAACUGCUUUUAUCUUGGAAGACAAGGCCCCUGCGCGGGACAUUGCCGGUACCAGAUGAAUAAGCACCGGCUCACUCCGUGCCAGCAGCCGCGGUACGACGGAGGGUGCAAGCGUUGUCCGGAUUUAUUGGGUUUAAAGGGUGCGUAGGCGGCUGUUUAAGUCAGUGGUGAAAGACCCCGGCUCAACCGGGGCAGUGCCAUUGAUACUGGACAGCUUGAGUAUUGGAGGGGUACAUGGAAUUGACGGUGUAGCGGUGAAAUGCAUAGAUACCGUCAGGAACACCGAUAGCGAAGGCAUUGUACUGGCCAACAACUGACGCUGAUGCACGAAAGCAUGGGUAGCGAAC